AUUGAACGCUGGCGGCAGGCUUAACACAUGCAAGUCGAGCGGGGGAAGGUAGCUUGCUACCGGACCUAGCGGCGGACGGGUGAGUAAUGCUUAGGAAUCUGCCUGUUAGUGGGGGACAACAUCUCGAAAGGGAUGCUAAUACCGCAUACGUCCUACGGGAGAAAGCAGGGGAUCACUUGUGACCUUGCGCUAAUAGAUGAGCCUAAGUCGGAUUAGCUAGUUGGUGGGGUAAAGGCCUACCAAGGCGACGAUCUGUAGCGGGUCUGAGAGGAUGAGCCGCCACACUGGGACUGAGAAACGGCCCAGACUCCUACGGGAGGCAGCAGUGGGGAAUAUUUGACAAUGGGGGGAACCCUGAUCCAGCCAUGCCGCGUGUGUGAAGAAGGCCUUAUGGUUGUAAAGCACUUUAAGCGAGGAGGAGGCUCUUUUGGUUAAUACCCAAGAUGAGUGGACGUUACUCGCAGAAUAAGCACCGGCUAACUCUGUGCCAGCCGCCGCCGUAA
rnacentral:rRNA from 1 species